CGAGUUACAUUGAAGCUGAUGUGGGCCUGGGUUCUUGGUGAGCCGAGCAUGUGAAUCACGAGGGUGGUGGUUUCAAGUCCUGCUCCAGAGACUUGAGCGCAGAGUCUAGGCUGGCAACUCCACUGCAGCACUGAGGGAAAGCCGCAGUGUUGGAGAUGCUGGUUUUUCAGGUGAGGUGUUAAACCAAAGCCCACUUCGAUCCCAUGGCACUAUAUGAUAAAGAGGAGGCAGGCUUUUUUUUCAUUGACCAGAAACAUGAGUUCUUCGUCGAUAUGACAUGUGAAGGCUGUUCUAACGCUGUGACCCGGGUGCUGAAUAAGCUAGGAGAGAUGCAGUUUGACAUCGAUCUUCCUAACAAAAAAGUUUUCAUUGAAUCAAAGCACAGUGUGGAGGUACUUACAGAAUGCUUGAAAAAGACCGGAAAAGGUGUGCAGUACGUCGGAGAAAAGUAGAGCAUGUGUGGUAGCUGUUGUAAACAGAAAAGCCUAGGGCUCUUAAUUUGGGGAUGCCACAAAAACAUUUUAGCAGGAAUGAAGUUCGGGGACAGUCUCUCACAGUGCAGUUCUACUUGGGCUCUUAGAAAGAAUGAACAAAUGGAGGCUUUCCUUCUGUGUAAAGACCCUGAAGAAUCACCAACCUGUUGGGUGAAUUCAAAGAGCUAUUUUGACAGUCGAAUCAAUGGAACCAAAUUACAGAGCAGCAACAGCUGGAUAUUUUGUGAACAUAAUGAAAAGUUUUAACUCUGAUAAUUAUUAGCCACUUAUUGAAUGGGGGAACAAAAGUGCUUUUCAUGUAGUUGUUUGAAUGGUUGUCUCCCUGAAAAUGCCUUCAUUUGUAAUUUGUUUAAAAUGUAUCUAUAAUUAUGUACAUAAAUAAAAUAAAUGUCUGUCUUAAUAGCUGCAAAAGCAGUUGCUUACAGCCUUUUCCCCUCCUUACAUUAGUCUUAAUUUACAUAUUUAAUUAGUAAGGUUGCCGCAGUUCUGAAUAUCCUGUAACUGGAGACGUGGCAAAAUGUUGUUUCUGUGUUGCCUGCCUGAUGUCAUGAUCAGCAAGUUCUUACAUGAAAUCAGUUCUGAUUCAGAGUAAAACUUUCUACAUAUGCUGA